rnacentral:rRNA from 1 species
AGCAGCCGCGGUAAUUCCAGCUCCAAUAGCGUAUAUUAAAGUUGUUGCAGUUAAAAAGCUCGUAGUUGAACUUCGGGAUUUACCCAUUGGUCAGGCUUAAUUGUCUGCACUGGUGAGAUAAAUCUCUACCUUCUGAGGAACUUUCAUGCCAUUUAUUUGGUGUGAUUGGAAAUCAGGACUAUUACUUUGAAAAAUUAGAGUGUUUAAAGCAGGCUAACGUCUGAAUAUAUUAGCAUGGAAUAAUGAAAUAGGACGGCUUGGUUCUAUUUCGUUGGUUUCUAGGAUCACCGUAAUGAUUAAUAGGGAUAGUUGGGGGCAUUAGUAUUCAAUUGUCAGAGGUGAAAUUCUUGGAUUUAUUGAAGACUAACUACUGCGAAAGCAUUUGCCAAGGAUGUUUUCAUUAAUCAAGAACGAAAGUUAGGGGAUCGAAGACGAUCAGAUACCGUCGUA